ensembl:lncRNA
AAAACAAGACACAAAGUGUGAAUUUCAAAAUGGAACCCGAACAAAAAGUUUGAUGCAAAUGAAGCUCGAGGCCUCGUCAGUGUUUCACGUGUCGUUCGUGUUGUGUAAGAAUGUGUAGAGGGUUCCUCCCUUCUCUCUAGCUCUGCAGGGCAUUGUGGGUCGUGGCGCCACAGUGCUGCUCGUGGUCUCAGCGGGGUUGGGGUAUGGUUGGUCAACGCUACAGCACUGCGGGUCAAAAGUCAGCCAGUGGAUGUGGGAGGGGUCAUGGAGAGUGUGUGUGUGCGAGAGAAGGGGUCAGAGAAAGCGCAUGCCAGCACCAGAAGAGACUGAUAACACACCAAGAGCGGUUUCUGGAUAUAAAGCUCAGCGCGUGUUUGCCGCGUGUUUACCGCGUGUUUGUCGCGUGGUUGUCGCGUGUUUACCGCGUGUUUACCGCGUGUUUGCCGCGUGUUGCUAUUUGGGUUACAUCGAGCAGCAGCUGUGUUUUCUAAUGUUCACCACAAUCACUCUAUGACUUUAAUUCAGUAUUUGGAUGAACCUCUCUGCAGUAAUGACGGCGCACGUGUUGUAAGGAGGAGGAUUUAUCAAAAGAAAAUAACUGAAACUACAACAAUGUGUAUGAACUUUGCUGCCAAAGGUCAGGAACUAUCUUUGUCUCUGUCCUCGGGGGGGCGUCUCCCCGAGUGUCUCCCUGCUAAUUGUCUCCGUGCUUUUACAUCGUCUCUGUCACUUUCUAUCUCGCUCUCUGACACUUUAAUUCAUCCGCCACUUUCUUUGUCUCUCCCUCUUGUCUUCCUUUCAAUCAGAGCUUUUCAAACCUCUUUAACCGCCAACAACCAACCAACCACACGCACACACACACACACACACACACACACUCCAGCUGUUAUUCCUGAUGGCGUGUUACAAAUGAGAUGUUGAAAGCUGAUCGCUGGGACGGGAGACACAGACCCUUGUUUUCUUUGGGCUUCGCUCUGUCACAUUGUGUCUCGUGGGGCUGGUCUGUGUGUGUGUGUGUGUGUCUGUGUCCGUGUGUGUGUGUGUGUGCGUGCGUGAUAGACAGGGGGACAGGAACACAAAGGCUACCUCAAUCCAAAAAUACCACCGUCGUGACCUCAGUCUCAAAUGUGAUUGACAUGUCAUGGACGGUCGGCCACGCUCUCCCCCCCCUGUUUGUUUAUCAGUCAUACGGACGACCUUCGACCCCAGGAAGUGGAGGCCCAUCGGGGGGCAGGAUGUCAAGGCAGGCGGCUUUAGGAAAUUCUUUCGCUAAGCUGUAGCUGUAGAUUCUGCCUCCGACGGGUGGAGCGCGUUCGGGUGGAGCUGAAGGUGCAGACGGGCCAGCUGUCGAUGUGGAAUCCACACGGGGGGGAUUGUGAGAGACGUGGGGGGGGGGGGGACGUGCACGCUGUGACUUCACGUCCGUUUCGGCGCGUUGGUUCGUUUCGAUGUGUGGAAAUGUCUCAGGAGGAGACAAACCGACCUGUUCGCCGCUCCCUCCUGCAGGGGGAGGGACUCCUGACGGGACGUCAACAACGGCCUCUCCGGGAGGUGAUCGUCGGCCCUGACCUCGCUUGUCUCAGCUCGCCACAGAAGACUUUGAAAAUCAUUCAACGUAAGAAAAAAGAAAAAUGUCUACGUGAAGAUGGAAGCGAAAGGCCCAGAAGUCCAGAAGCCUCGAGCCUCGUGUUCGGACACAAAGUGGCACAACCGUUUCAGGAUCAGGAUGCUGAUUAUUAUUCAUCAUUUUCCACAGCGCGAGUGGCAUUUCUCCCGUUUCCCACAAAGUGUCCGUGUCCGCACAAAGACGUGUGUGUGCAGUGGGUUGGAGGUGACGCGUGAACACCGCACUACACGGGCCUCCUUCACGUCGGGCGGCUCAGCGCACUUAUGAUCCGGAGGUAAUCCGUCUCUUGUGUGGGCUCCAUCGUCACACAGGGACACAACAGGCCUUUUCUUCCACGCGUAAUUAACAGAGGUACUUACGCGCUGCUUUCUGGGAUUUAAGCGUUGUGUUGUCGCAGCUUUAGGCUGCGGUGGUGAAAUGGGGGGGCGGGGGGGGGGCUCUGUAUGUGGCUCUCGGUGCUUUCACGGUGUUCACCGUGCUGACGUGGUUUUAUUUCAGUGAAAGCCACGUAACUCCUCAUGGGGCGGGAACAACGGGCCCGUUACGGGACACUUUCAGGUAAUUGAGUGGGUUCAUAUGUGGUGAAUUAAACUAAAAUGGAAACCAUGAGAUAGAUGGAUGGAUAGAUAAGUACUUAUUGAUCCCCGAGGGGAAAUUCAAUCCUUCAGUUUCAUCCUUCAAAUAAAUGGUUUUCACGAGACAGCUACUGGCCGGGCAUCUCUGAAGACACUCAACAUGGAGCCGUCAGAGCAAAGCAAUACAGGUUAGGAACACGCAAUAUCGCACAUACACAACUAUCCCUCACCUCUCUCACACACACACACACGCACACACACACACGGUAGCCUGAAAGGAGACAGUGACCUGAGCUGAACAAAUGGAUUUAGUCACGGCUGAGGAUUGGUGUGGAAUGUGUAUGUGUGUGUUAACGCUCGUCUGACUCUCCACCAAGUGAAGCAGAAAACACACAUGUGGAGGAGGAAGAAGAAAUACAGGAAUAGAAAAGAAAGUCAAAAUAUUGGGUAAAAUAAUAUUAUGUCAAAAGAUGUCAAAUGGAAAAAGAAUAGAUGUUCUACAAAUGUGGUGGGGAAAAAAGGUUCAAAAAUAUUCGGUGAAAAGGUGUGGUAUUUUUUUCAAAAAUGUCAUCAGAAAAAAUAUAUAUAUAUUUGGCCAAAAAAUGUCCAGAAUUUUUUUUUCAAAAAAUGUCAAAAGAUUGGUCGAGAAAGGUCAUGGAAAAAAGGUAAUGGAAAAAGGUUUUUAAAAAUGUUGUGAGAAAAAAUAACAAUACUAUUUGGUGAAAAAGUAAAGAAAAUAAUCAGAGAAAAAUAUGGUUUUAUAGAAAUGUCAUCGAAAAAAAGU